CGUAAAAUAAAUAUUAAAAAUAGAAAAUUAUUUGGGUCAAAAUUAGAAAAAAAUAUGAAAUAGACAAUUGGACCUUAGUGACUUUUUGAUUCAAUUAAAAAAAAAUGAUUGUAAUAAUAAUAAAAAUCAAAAUCAGAUUUAAAUUUACAUUUUUUUGGUCCCUAAACCCCAAUUCAUUUACGCCUCACACCCUUCCCAUUGUUCUGAAAAACUUCAAUCAAGAAUGGCACCACAUUCUUCCUCAAGAUUCUCUUCUUCUUCUCCGUGUCAAUUCAAUCUCGCCAUUUCUGUUGGUUGAGUACAACAACACCAUUUUUACCAUCUUCUUUCUUCUUCGUGUUCUUUGAAUCCAAGGAGGUAUAAUGUAGCCUUUUCAAUUGAUUUAUCAACGUACAGCAACCCCUCACCUCCUCUAUUUUGUGUUCGGAAAUUCGCACAUACAUUUGAUUUCAUGUGGGUCCAAAAACAGCAAGCAAUCUUGAUUCGCCAGGGGCUGUUGGUAGCAAUGGCCUCCUUGCUCGCUUUGAUUCGAAACCGCAUCCUCCGUCUUUCUUGUGGGUCUUUGUUCUUGAAAGGAGACGAUUUAUCGGCGAAACCACUUUAGUUGAUAGCUGUGAAUCAAAUCCGAUUCUUUGAAGCAUCAUCGAUGUUGUCAUGUGCUUAUGUCGCCUCUGUGUCUUUGAGCUUAAAGCUACGUAACAUGUUAUAUGGUUUUGCAUCUACACAAUGAACACCAACAAAAAGCCAGCAACGGAUCAUCACCAGCAGGCAGCAGAUUCAUUACUUGGCAGCUGGAUCAUCAAAUUGUAUGAUUUACAACAGAAUAGUUAUAUAGAAUUUUCUUGUUCUCUUUUGCCAAGAGUUGUAUAGCAUUAUAAGAGAUAUACUUUUGUUAAUUUAUAAUAUUUAAUAAAAAUAUAGUUUUUUGUUUA